CCUACGGGAGGCAGCAGUGAGGAAUAUUGGUCAAUGGGCGUAAGCCUGAACCAGCCAAGUCGCGUGAGGGAUGAAGGUUCUAUGGAUCGUAAACCUCUUUUAUAAGGGAAUAAAGUGCGGGACGUGUCCCGUUUUGUAUGUACCUUAUGAAAAAGGUUCGGCGAACCCCGUGCCAGCAGCCGCGGGAAAACGGAGGGUCCGGGCGUUAUCCGGAUUUAUUUGGUUUAAAGGGAGCGUAGGGGGAUUGUUAAGUCAGUUGGGAAAGUUUGGGGCUCAACCGUAAAAUUGCAGUUGAAACUGGCAGUCUUGAGUACAGAAGAGGUGGGCGGAAUGCGUGGUGUAGCGGUGAAAUGCUUAGAUAUCACGAAGAACUCCGAUUGCGAAGGCAGUUCACUGGACUGUAACUGACACUGAGGCACGAAAGUGUGGGUAUCAAACAGGAUUAGAUACCCUAGUAGUC
rnacentral:rRNA from 1 species